GAACAUUACCAGUUUUUCUCUCUAUCAACUUGCUCGAACUCAAUGCUCUUGUCUACUAUCCUGUUAUUCCCUUUUGCAGUUCGGUAACGGGAGAGUGAAAUCCACAUUUGAUUGUGCACCAUCCUCCACAACAGUAAAGAUAAAUGCAAGAAGAGAAGAAAACCACCUUGUAGUCCCCAAGCCAUGUCCAAGGCCACUCAGUGAGAAUCCCUGGUUUGCUGGCCAUUUUUCCUCAACCGGUCAGAUUUCUUCUCCAACUUAAAGUUUUGGCACAAUGAGCAUUACAUAUAUAUAACAAAAUAAUGGUGUUACUAAUGGUAUACUAGCUUAAUCACAUUUAAGUCCAGCCCAUCUAAUACCUACCUGGGGUGGGCAGCUGUCUUACUAUAUGCCUGGUCUCCUAAAUUAGCACUUGGACAAACAUAGAAAAAUUUGGCGACCUAAUAUUAGAUGUAUAAUUGUUACAAAGUGUGAUAAUGUAGCAUGGUGUGUUUUUCCUGUGGAUAACUGUGGAGCAUUUAUGAGUUUCACCAGCCCAAAUUGAUGAGUGUCGGCUUACAAUGUCAACAGUAGGCUACAGUUAUGGUUGGGCAUUCACAUCCAAGUUCAGGCAAAGAUUUCUGAUCUCUUGCUGCUUCCUUCGUUUCUCCUUUCCAAUUUGACAUAAGCUGCACCCAAUUGACAAACUGCCUGCAUUUCUCCUGUGCCCCCUUAAUUGUUUUUAAUAUUAAUUGACCUUAGUAUUUAGAGUUGGCUAAUGGUGUCCCUAGAUAAUAGAUCACUACUUGUGAAUCAUACAUCAUAAUCAAUUCUUGCAACAAAUUAGUGAUAUCAGACACUGCUUAAGGGAGUCUUAGUCACACAUUUUAUCAUAAUUGAUACAUGUAAUUAUGUAAUUGAAGUGGUGUGAUUUUAUCCAAUCUUGACUUUUUUUGCAA